AACGAACGCUGGCGGCAUGCCUAACACAUGCAAGUCGAACGAGACCUUCGGGUCUAGUGGCGCACGGGUGCGUAACGCGUGGGAACCUGCCCUUAGGUUCGGAAUAACUCCCCGAAAGGGGUGCUAAUACCGUAUAAUGUCUUCGGACCAAAGAUUUAUCGCCUUUGGAUGGGCCCGCGUUGGAUUAGCUAGUUGGUAGGGUAAAAGCCUACCAAGGCGACGAUCCAUAGCUGGUCUGAGAGGAUGAUCAGCCACACUGGGACUGAGACACGGCCCAGACUCCUACGGGAGGCAGCAGUGGGGAAUAUUGGACAAUGGGCGCAAGCCUGAUCUAGCAAUGCCGCGUGAGUGAUGAAGGCCUUAGGGUUGUAAAGCUCUUUUACCCGGGAUGAUAAUGACAGUACCGGGAGAAUAAGCUCCGGCUAACUCCGUG
rnacentral:rRNA from 1 species